GUGUAUGAUCUAUUGAUCUGUGCCUUGCCAAUUGACAUGAGUCAAUGACGUCGAUUGCGCUGUGCUCCAUUCAUAUCCAUUCUGAAUUUCUGAUUUGAUUGUCCUUGGAGUAAAUCUUGGACUGUCUUCAUGUGUCCGAAUCCAAAAUAGUCCUGUGGUUCGUCUGCCUUUCAGCUCAUUUGGAAGGUUCUCAGAGUUGCUGAUCCCACCAUUGGCAGUUCAAGUAUCAAGAGGCCAUUGGUGACAGAAGCUGCAGCAUUCAUGGUUAUGAGAUCGUUGCCAGAGAAACCAUCGAAGGUGAACUCACCUGAUCUAUCAUAAGUAGAGGCGGACAGCAGCAGAGGCACGAGGAUGAGGAGGAGAUACUGUAGAAAGCAAGGUUGAUGCAUGUUCAUCACAUCAGCUAGACAGACGAGGCCUGCUCUUCUCUGCAAUAUCGAUGGAUCGAGUCGAGUCACAGGAAGCUAUUCAGCUAAAUUAAUAAGGCUGAAAUAGAAAAAGGUUAAGAAAAGAAGAGAAGAGCUAUUGAAAAGGCACGACAUGAAGAGGAAAUGACAUUGCUAGCUAGAGAAAGAGCACGUGUCGAGUUUCAAGACUGGGAGAAGAAAGAGGAAGAGUUUCAUUUUGACCAAAGCAAGGUCAGGUCUGAGAUCAGGUUGCGGGAGGGGCGUACAAAGCCUAUUGAUGUUCUCCUUAAGAAUCAUUUGCUCAUCCUUAUCUAAGUGGAUUAACAGUGAAAGAAAUGGAAGAGCUACGUGAUGACAUUAAGAUGCAUCUUGAUCUGGACAGGGAAGCCAAACAAAUGUUAAGUACUAGGAGGCACUCAUGGUGGUAUGCGAAUGGGAGUUAGGCGAGGCUCGAAAAAGAGAUGCCCUAGAUCGAGCUAGGGUCCAUGGUGAGGAACCACCACCUGAGGUUUGCAUGCAAGUAUUGAGGGGGAUGUAAAAAGUCUCCUGGAUGGUAAAACUUCCACAGAGCUUGAAGAUAUGCAUGGUCAAAUUGAGUCCCAAAUGAGCUCUGGCACUGCAAAAGUUGUUGAGUACUGGGAGGCUAUUCUGAAACGGCUUCAUAUUUACAAAGCAAAGGCUUUCUGUGACUUUGAUUCGGUGAUCUCUGUUAGUACUUCAGCACUCAGGGAAGUUCUCUAAGGCAGGCAGUUGAACUUUGGCAGAAACUUGGUUGCUCCAGAUGGAUGUGGAUCCAGGACUCGUAUUGAAGCUUCUGCUUGAUGGACGGCUGAAGCUUGUGUUGGCCUUGACAUUAUUGAAUUCUCGUGCCUCUUUACAAGUAGAGUCUGUAUCUUUUUGUUCUCCUAUAAAGAAAUGUUCAUGAAAUCAAUGUCAUUCUGACUGGUAGUAGGUCUCUAUUCUUAGAUUCUGUUUGAAUAAGGGGGAUGGAAUCCAAAUCCUUAGGAUUUAGUUCAACUUUGAACUAAAUUUCUAGAGCAACCCCCUUAUUUGAGCACCCAUGUAUGGGCCAGAUUAUGUGAUUCCUUGUACCAUCAACCAGUUGACUAAUAAAUACUCACAUGUUACCUGUA